GCCCGCCUAGCUCAAUCGGAUAGAGCGUCAGACUCUUAAGGCGGGUUACAUCACUUACCUCGGUGAUCUGAAGGCUGCGAGUUCGACCCUCGCGGUGGGCU